GUUCCUUACAGCAUGAGCGUGUGGGGGGGCCCAAUAGUAGGUUGAUGCACUGCAAGCCUCUGGUGGAUCCUCCACCUUGAGGUUCCAGAAGCUCCAGUAGCUUCAAAUAACUGUUUGCUGCUUUGUAAGGGCAUUUUAACAGCUGCUCUCUUAAUCCGAUGAAUUUGUCUAAC